rnacentral:rRNA from 1 species
AAAGAACUUAAUGCGUUAAAGAGGCGNGGUAAGUUUGAUAAGUACCCAANGAGNNGGGACGCUACUUCGUGCCAGCAGCGCGUAAUACGAAGGUCCCAAGCGUUGUUCGAAUAACUGGGCGUAAAGCGUNNNUUAGGCUGCGCGGAAAGUCAAAUGUGAAAGCCAAGGGCUCAACCCUUGAACUGCAUUCGAUACUCCCGUGCUAGAGUAAUGGAGAGGUAAGUGGAAUUCUCGGUGUAGCAGUGAAAUGCGUAGAUAUCGAGAGGAACAUCAAUGGCGAAGGCAACUUACUGGACAUUUACUGACGCUCAGACACGAAGGCUAGGGGAGCGAAAGGGAUUAGAUACCCCUGUAGUCCUAGCAGUAAACGGUGCUCGCUUGGUGUGGGAGGAUUCGACCCCUUCUGUGCCGGAGCUAACGCGUUAAGCGAGCCGCCUGGGAAGUACGGUCGCAAGACUAAAACUCAAAGAAAUUGACGGGGACCCGCACAAGCGGUGGAGUAUGUGGCUUAAUUCGAUGCAACGCGAAGAACCUUACCUAGGCUUGACAUGCUCAUCAUACCCUCCCGAAAAGGAGGGGUCGGUUCGGCCGGAUGAUGCACAGGUGCUGCAUGGCCGUCGUCAGCUCGUGUCGUGAGAUGUUUGGUUAAGUCCAGCAACGAGCGCAACCCCUGUGAACUGUUGCCAGCGGAUAAUGCCGGGGACUCUGUUCAGACUGCCCAGAUCAACUGGGAGGAAGGUGGGGACGACGUCAGGUCAGUAUGGCCCUUACGCCUAGGGCUGCACACGUACUACAAUGCCCAGCACAAUGAGAACCGAGACCGCGAGGUGGAGGAAAUCUAUAAAACUGGGCCCAGUUCGGAUUGGAGACUGCAACUCGUCUCCAUGAAGUCGGAAUCGCUAGUAAUGCCGUAUCAGCUACGACGGCGUGAAUACGUUCCCGGGUCUUGUACACACCGCCCGUCACAUCAUGGAAGCCGGUCGCACCCGAAGUAUCUGCGCUAACUUUCGAGAAGCAGGAUCCUAAGGUGAGGCUGGUAACUGGGAUGAAGUCGUAACAAGGUAGCCGUA